GAUGAACGCUGGCGGCGUGCCUAAUACAUGCAAGUCGAGCGAACAGACGAGGAGCUUGCUCCUCUGACGUUAGCGGCGGACGGGUGAGUAACACGUGGAUAACCUACCUAUAAGACUGGGAUAACUUCGGGAAACCGGAGCUAAUACCGGAUAAUAUAUUGAACCGCAUGGUUCAAUAGUGAAAGACGGUUUUGCUGUCACUUAUAGAUGGAUCCGCGCCGCAUUAGCUAGUUGGUAAGGUAACGGCUUACCAAGGCAACGAUGCGUAGCCGACCUGAGAGGGUGAUCGGCCACACGGGAGCUGAGACGCGGUCCAGACUCCUACGAGAGGCAGCAGUAGGGAAUCUUCCGCAAUGGGCGGAAGCCUGACGGAGCAACGCCGCGUGAGUGAUGAAGGUCUUCGGAUCGUAAAACUCUGUUAUUAGGGAAGAACAAAUGUGUAAGUAACUAUGCACGUCUUGACGGUACCUAAUCAGAAAGCAACGGCUAACUACGUG
rnacentral:rRNA from 1 species